rnacentral:ncRNA from 2 species
AAUAUAAUCAUGAGGCCGCAAUUUGUCAAGAGUACUUUUUUUAAAAUAGGAAAGGGGCAAUUGCCGAAAUACGAUUUAUUCGUAUUGGGACUAUGCUAAAUAAGUAUAGUACUGUCAUUAAUAAUCUGCCCAGAUUAUUAAUGGAGAACUGAUUAUGUU